AUUGAACGCUGGCGGCAGGCCUAACACAUGCAAGUCGAACGGUAGCACAGAGAGCUUGCUCUCGGGUGACGAGUGGCGGACGGGUGAGUAAUGUCUGGGAAACUGCCUGAUGGAGGGGGAUAACUACUGGAAACGGUAGCUAAUACCGCAUAACGUCGCAAGACCAAAGAGGGGGACCUUCGGGCCUCUUGCCAUCAGAUGUGCCCAGAUGGGAUUAGCUAGUAGGUGGGGUAACGGCUCACCUAGGCGACGAUCCCUAGCUGGUCCGAGAGGAUGACCAGCCACACUGGAACUGAGACACGGUCCAGACUCCUACGGGAGGCAGCAGUGGGGAAUAUUGCACAAUGGGCGCAAGCCUGAUGCAGCCAUGCCGCGUGUAUGAAGAAGGCCUUCGGGUUGUAAAGUACUUUCAGCGGGGAGGAAGGUGUUGUGGUUAAUAACCACAGCAAUUGACGUACC
rnacentral:rRNA from 1 species